AUCUUUUGAUUUUCCUUGAGGCUUCCUCUUUGACCUUUAGAAUACUUAGAAGUGUGUUGCUUAGUUUCCAAGUGUUUAGAGAUUUUGAAGUUUUGAUAUCAGGGUAAUAAUAACUUUCAUAUACUUACAAGUUUUUUUAUAUCAGUGAAUUCUAACAUCUGAAAAAAUAUCCUUUGUAGACCAUUGCCUUGAUACUGUUUUCAGAAAGCGUGGUCUAACUUGAUUUUCUAAUGCCAUUUAUUGAGCACACCCUGUGUACUUCUCUGGCCUCAGCUGAUGCUCUGCCUUUGCUCAGCCUGGUUCAGCCACACUGUUCUUUCUGUUACCACCCGAACAUAUCAACCUCUCAUCCCUUCAGGGCCUCUGCACAUGCUGUUCUUCUAAAUCUUCCAUAGCGGGCUCUUUUGCAUCACUCACGGCUCAGUGCAAAUGUCACUUCCUCAGUGAUGCCUUCCCUGGCAACCCCAUCUAAAGUAUCAUCCCCCCUGAAACCACCUACUUCCCUAUUAAAUCACCUUGUUUUGUGUUCUUUUUCGUAGCAUUUAUCACUAUUGAAAACAUUUUACUUAUUGCUAGUCUUGUCUAUUGUUUGUUUCACUCCACUUGAAUACAAGGUUCUUGAGAGCACAGGAUCUGUGCUUAUUCGUUGCUGAACCCCUAGCACUUAGUAUUCAAUAAAUACAUUGUGAAUGAAUUAGAGUGGACAUUCAAAAAUAAAUAUUGAAUACAUUAAUGAAUUCUAGACCCUGUAGUGGGCAAUUAGAAUACACAAAUAUGAAUAAGGAGUAAUUCUGGCCCUCGAUGAGCAUACACACAUGCAUACACAAUGAAUUUUCUAAUGAAAAUCAGUCUCCUAAUGCUUCUUAGCCAGGAGCCACAGGAUAUGCUCUAACAGUUUUUAGUUUUCCCCCAGCAGUGAAGAGGGCUUAACACUUACUAAGCAUAAGUUCUUACCCAGUUCACUCUGGGGACUACCCCACCACAUUGCUAAGUGAGUCAAUGGGGAGAAGCACAGGCACUGGUAACACAGCAUCAUGAAAGAGUUUUGCUGCAACCUUAACCUUAUUGUCAUCAUUGAGCAAUUAGCUGAGCACAGCAGCCAUGGAAAUCCUCAUUAACAACUAGGAAGUGGGACGGUAUCGCUGGCAUAUGGAGAUGUUGAAGGGUUUCCUGAUCAACGUUUCCCAUGGUGUGCUUCUCAGAACACUGAGUCUCAGGAUGUUAAUAGAUGUUAAGUAAAUAAAAUGAUGUGUGGGUACCUUGGAAAUGCUGACUUAGAAGAAGCAUAAACAGAUUCCUUUACUUCAAAAUUCUUAAUAUGCUAGUACAGAUUUACAAAGAAGGUAACAGUAUGGACUAAUUCUCAACAUUAUUUGACCAGUGUUAUGAGUUGAAUUGUGUCCCCUCAAAAAUAUAUGUUGAUGUCCUUGGAACCAACCUAAAUGACCAUCGACAGAUGAAUGGAUAAAGAAGAUGUGGCACAUAUAUAGUGGAAUAUUACUCAGCCAUAAAAAGAAAUGAAAUUGAGUUAUUUGUAGUGAGGUGGUUGGACCUAGGGUCUGUCAUACGGAGUGAAGUAAGUCAGAAAGAGAAAAAAAAAAUACCAUGUGCUAACACAUAUAUAUGGAAUCUAAAAGAAAAAAAAUUGGUACUGAUGAACCUAGUUGCAGGGCAGGAAUAAAGAGGUAGACGUAGAGAAUGGACUUGAGGACACGGGGUGGGAGGGUGAAGCUGGGGUGAAGUGAGAGUAGCAUCGACAUAUACACACUACCAAGUGUAAAGUAGUUGGCUGGUGGGAAGCAGCGGCAUAGCACAGGGAGAUCGACUCGGUGCUUUGCGAUGACCUACAGGGGUGGGAUAAGGAGGAUGGGAGGGAGGCUCAAGAGGGAGGGGAUAUGGGGACAUGUGUAUGCAUGUGGCUGAUUCGCUUUGUUGUGCAAUAGAAACUAACACAGUAUUGUGAAGUAAUUAUACUCCAGUACAGAUCUGUUUAAAAAAAAAAAGAAAAUACAAUUCCUCCUAUUAAUAAAGAUAAUGAUAAUAUUCUUUAUUAUGUAAAAAAUAUAUAUAUUUAUGUUGAUGUCCUAACCACCAGCACCUCAGAAUGUGAACUUAUUUGGAAAUGGGGUCACUGUAAUUAGCUAAGAAGUCAUACUUGUAUAGGGUGGGCCUUUAAUCCAGUAUAACUGGUGUCCUUAUAAGAAGAACAGAGAGACACAUACAGAGAGAGGAAGGCCAUGUGAGGGGGGCAGAGAUUAGAGUGAUACAUCUACAUGUCAAGGGAUGCCAAGGAUUGCUGAUUGUCACCAGAAGCCAGGGGAGAAGAAUGGAACAGAUUCCUACUCAAAGGCCUCAGAAAGAACCAAUCUUGCCAGCACCUUGAUUUCAGACUUCUGGCCUCCAGAACCCUGAGAGAAUACAUUUCUAUUGUGUUAAGUCACUGUUUUAGUCCAUUUGGUUUGCUAGAACAAAAUAUCACAGGAUAGCUCGUAAACAACAAAAAUUUAUUUCUCACAGUUUUGGAAAAUGGAAGUCAGAGACCAGGGUGCCAGCAUGGUUGGUUAAGUGCCCUCUUCUGGGUUGCAGACUUCUCACUGUGUCCUUAUGUGGCAGAAGGGGACGAGGGAGCUCUGUGGGGUCUUUUUUAUAAGUGCACUAAUCCCGUUCAUGAGGGCUCUGCCUUCAUGACCUAAGCACCUCCCAAAGACCCUACCUUCUAGUACUGGCAUAUUGGGCGUUAGGAUUCCACAUGUGAAUUUUGGGGGAACACAAAUAUUCAGACCAUAGCAGUCACCCAAUUUGUGGUAAUUUGUUAUGGCAACCCUAGGAAACUAAUACCAGAGAACUCUUGUUCAAGGAGCAUCUUGAGAGAACAGUCUUUCAAAGACACUUUUCUAGGUGACUUUCCAUGUUGAAAUGUGAUUCUCCAGCUGCUUGUUUAUCGUCUGUAUUUAAAUGAAUAGUAAAGAGAGCUUAGUUGAGAGAUCCCUAUUCCGUGGUCUUAGAGCCGACAUUUUGAAGAUUUUACUGUUGCAGUGGGUGCUGUUGUUUACUUGGCAGAGGAUAUUUAGCCUUGAGAAGUCAUGAUUUACCAGAAUCUCUUCGUGAAGGUGCUGAUAAAUCGGAGACAAAGAUUAUAGUCUUCCCAGAGACCUGCAGUAGCCCCUGGAAGCCUGUUAGAGGAAACCUGAAUGUUGUAAUAGAAGGAGCUCUGGGGCUGGACAGCCCAUGGGUUCAAAACCAAGGUUUGAGGCCUGGGAUGAAUCACUGGGCUGCUCUACACUUGGAUUUUGCAUGUGAAAACCAGAGAUACUAAUGAUAAUAGCUCUGACACUGGCCACCUCGCCAGGUAACUGCAAAUUGUGAAAAGCAUUAUAAAUUUAAGGUUCUUAUUAGGUAAAAAAUGGCUCUUUUGUUUAGCAGAGUCUGGUCAUAGAGUUUUUUCUGUCAAAAUUUGAUGUACAUAUUCUAGAGGUAAAAUAGCUUUUACUGAACCAUGGACUUAUUUCUAAUUUUCCUUGAUAUAGACCAACUCCUGAAAGGUCUUCUAACUUGUGCUAUAAUGGGAAUGACCAUGAGGAAUCAGAUGUAGUGUACAGAGAAAGAUUUUCUGGAUUGACACUUAUAAAUAUCUUAUUUAUUUUUUUCUAAAAUAUGCCCCAUUGUACUUCCAAAAGUAAUUUGAAUAUGUCUAUACAUAUAAAGCAUACGUACAUAUAAAAAAAUCAGAUGUCAUGUGUGGAGGGAAAAGAGCUGUACAGUUUCACUUACUCACUUAUUACUGAAAUAAUACAGAAUUUAUGUCACCUUUCUGGCAGUCAAAGAAAAAAGGAAAAUAGGAUGUUCCAUAGAUACCAAGUCUACUUUCAGGCUAUUACAAGUGCACUUAUAGGCACUAGAAUAGAACUGAUGCUUGUACCUUCUAAGGAAACUUUUUUUACGAGACAGGUUUGUAUUGGAAGAUAACCCUACUUGCAGGUAGUGCACAGAAGCCAGGACCUGGGGAAGCCGUAAGAGUUCCCUCAUUAGAAUAUAGUUAUCAGAGUGAUGUUUACUUAUCUAUUUAUUUAUUUUCUAUAUCUGCUUUCAGAGAUAUGGAAGGUAUAUUUAUAGGGGCCAUAAUAGAAAUAGAACCUUAUACAGGCAAACCUCGUUUUAUUGUACUUCACUUUAUUGUGCUUCACAGAUAACAUAUUUUUUACAAAUUGAAGAUUUGCAGCAAGGCUUGAGUUGUCAGAUGAUAGCACUUUUUAGCAAUAAAGUAUUUUUUUUAAAAUUAAGGUAUGUAGGUUGGGUUUUUUAGACAUAAUGCUAUUGAACACUUAAUAGACUAUAGUAUAGUGUAAACAUAGCUUUUAAAAAAUUUAUUGAAGUAUAGUUGAUUUACAAUGUUGUGUUAAUUUCUGCUGUACAGCAAAGUGAUUCAGUUUAUUUAUAUACAUUGUUUUUCGUAUUCUUUUCCGCUAUGGUUUAUCACUGGAUGUUGAAUAUAGUUCCCUGUGCUAUACACUACAUUUAUCCAUUUAAAUGUAACUUUUAUACGUAGCGGGAAACCAAAAUUUCGUGUGACUCACUUUAUUGUGAUGUUUGCUUUAUUGUGGUGGUCUGGAACCAAAACUGCAAUAUUUCUAAGGUAUGCCUGUAGUGUGGCAUGUUGCAAAUCUGGACAUCUACUGUUCCAUUUGCCCUGCCUUCUUUCUCUCUUCUUUUGGGAAUUGAAUCUCUCAUCUUCACUGUAUAAGUUAGUUUGGGGUUGCUACAUGUAGCCAGCGGGUCCUGACUACUUUUGAUAGCACCUUUUAGGUUUCGCUUGCCCAGCAUCUUUCUCCUCUUUUUCCUAACAGCACUUUGAUUUUCCUUUUGGGAACCGCCUUUCUCAUUCUUGGUCCUUGUAGAUGGGUUACAUUGACUCUUACACCCCCUUGUGACUGCAAGCAUGGAAAUGUGACUCAGGCAUAGCCAAUGAGACUUAUUUUCUGGGGUUUAAUUGGAAUCAGGGGGAAAGAGAAGCUGGAAAUGCCAGGGAUUAUUAAAUGGAGAGGGCCUGCCAAUGAACAAAGCUAAUACAGAAGAAAGUAGAACUCAGAGAGGAGAAAGAGAGACUGAGUCCUCUUGAUACCUUCAACUUCUGGAUCUUAGUAUGCCUAAACCCAGUUCAACCUCGGCUUUUUCAGCUACAUGAGCCAUUGCAUUCCUUUUUUCCUUGUUAUACGGGUUUGAGUUGGCUUUCUGUCACUUGCAGCUAAGAUCCUUGUUUGGUAACAAUGUCUGAAGUUGGCCUUACAUUGAGUAUUGAGAAUUGGGAGGGAAGCCCCAGAGCAUCUUUCCUCCCUACACAAAUUUAGGAAUUUUCUUAUGCUGAUUAGGUCUCCAGUCAAGACAAGUCACCAAAAGGUAGAAAACCAGAUGUAAAUAGAUUGUAGUCUAUCAACAUUGGAGUAUUAUUUAUUGAUGUUUUCCAUCAAUCAGUAUUUUAUCGGAUCAGUACUUACUCAGAAAUACUUUCAAACUUCCUUAGAAAGAGUGCCAACAAUAAGCCACUUAAAAUCAGAUGGCAGUAUUUACGUUAUCCAUGGGAAGAAUAAUUGCUGUGUAUAUUUUUGUGUCAAAGUCAUAAGAGUUAUGUUACUUUCUACUCAAGUCUUUCCUAGGAGGAUGGUUGGUAUUAAUCCACCUUUGUUAUACUCGAUCUACCACUUGUAAUGAACAUAGGAUAUUCUGAAAUCUUUCAGGUAAAAAGUAAGUCAGUGCUUCAGUUAAGUGAAUCUAUGCUGCUCUUUGGCAGGGACUGACCUGUGCUUUAUAUGUUUAAAAAAAAAAGAGGAAAAACAUUUCCUGCCUGGUGUAUUUAGACAAACAUUUGCCUUAUACAGUCUUUCCUUUAUGGAUAAUUUCUUUGUCCUCAUUCACUGUUGAUAAAUAUCAUGUUCAGUAUCCAAAAGACACAAUUUACAAAUGUUUUAAGCCUCAGCAGUUACAGUUUUUCCUUGUCGCAUCACUAUUUCUUGCUUUUGAUAGUUCUUUUUGUGGUUAUAAGACCUUUCUUAAUGACUACAUGUUUUCUUACUUUUGGUAAAACAUUUGAUCUUGGGUGGAUUGACUUUACCCUGCCUCCUCUGCUGCCUGGAUGGAUAAGAGGUGUUUCUUUAUUUGGGGUUUUGUUUUUUUGAUAAAACCAUUGGGUUUUUAUUCAUGUUUACUACUACAUAUAGAGGGCUUUCUUAUUUUUAAAGAAUCACUAAGAGCAUAUGCCUUUUGAAUUAAUAAUAUUCUUUGAAAAUUAUUUUAUUGAUUACUUCACAUUGUCUAAAGAUUCUAAAGUUAUAUGAACUUUCAUAAUUCAAAUUGUUGGGAAUAGAAUAAUCCCUCUUAGAUCUGAUACACUGGAGAAUAUCUUUCCACUCACAAAGAAAUUGAAGACUAUGUAAACUGCAAAGCACUUUGUUAAUUUUGAUGCUGUGUCAAAGCCAAAGCUUAAUUAUAAUACCUUUUAAUCCUAGUUCUAAACAAUCUGUAGGAAUUUGUUGUGUAAACAGAUUUAGUUUGGCACUCUCUAAACAUGAUGAUUUCGAAUAGGGUAUUCCUAAAAGAUGUUACGUUUUUAAAAGUACUUUUUAAUUUCCCCUUAUGCAAAAUUUUGGUUAUAUUCAGAUUGAAAAUCACUUUUUUAAAAUUGAAAAUUGGAAAAUUAAGAAUAUAGAAAUGAUCCAAUUAAUAUGAUACUCUCUAAAAACUAAAGCUAAUCCAUCCAGAGAAAUAUUUUCACAAGUAUCUUUUGAACUAGUAGGAUAAAUCCAGGGAACAGAAAUGCAACCGAAGUUAUCAGUAGACAGAAAAUUAUAUUCAAAUCUUAAAUGGGAGAUGGAUAUUUUAAAAAAAUUAUUAAAAAGCAUAGCUCAAGGAAUUUCAUCAUAAUUUUGGGAGGCAGAAUGUUCCUUCUGUCCUACUUUGGUGAGUAAUGUAUUCAGUCCUGACCAUCUCAUUACCUAUGAAAUGUAGACAAAGUGGAAGGAGUUCCAGAGAUAAGUAGCAGACAUGACCAAAGGCCUUGAAAAUCUAAUCCACGGGGGAAGAUUCGGUGAAACACAGCCUGCUUGGAAAUAGUACACAAGCUGAGCCAACACUGGGGGAAUAAUCAGGGUCAUGGGAGGAAGCAGCACAGUGGAGGAAACAGAGUGUAGUACAUGCAGCCGGCUUCAUUAGCAGUCUCAGAAGGGGGACUCACUGGGAUUGUGGAAAGGACAAGACAGCAAUUAAAACUAGGUAAAUAAACUCACAAGCACAUGUUAAGGAUUUUCAAAAAUAAAGUGAGGCAUAUUAAAAACUUUAAGAGUUGACUUGAGCAAAAAUCAAUUCUAACUGGGCAGCAGCCCAAACCAGAAGUGGUUAGGAAAGGAGCCUGGGGGAAGACUUAAAUAGAAAAAGCGGCGACCAAAGGAAAAAAUUACUUGAUUGGCUAUAGCUUGAUUCUAGUUGGCUGUUUGUGAUUGGCUGUCCUUAGUGUUUUAAUUUUGUAACUUUGAGGCAUUUGCAGGCUCGGGUUUUGGUUUGCUUACAAUGGCAUUAGAGCCACUGUGAGAAAUUCACAUGUAUUCCAUUUUCCUGGAAGUGGAAGCUCAUAGCAUGCUUUUAAAACAAACAAAACAAAACAAACGAACAAACAAAAAAAACCCCACAUCCUCCACAGUGUCUUUGUUAUAGGCAAGACUACCUGCUGCUUGAUUUCCAACAUAUGUGGGCUAAGUAAGUGUCAGUGUCCUGUCUUCUCAGCCAGUUUGGAGACAACUUAGUACAUUUGAUUAGUGUGUGUUAACAUGAUUAAACAUUCUAACUUCAAAAUUCUUCUUGACAGUUCAGUGGCUUUUUGAGCGCCUUCUCAUUUGGAAACAGAAAUUGAAGCCCACACUUAUCUCUUGGCUCUUCUCCACGGGUUGGUUUCUUUCCAGUUUGGGGAGAUCUAAAUAUCAACAUUGUUUUCCUCUACCUCCCUGGGAAGUGGAAGACGAGUUAACGUAAGCUUAAAUCAUGAGUUAGGCCUCUUUUCCUUUUCUCUUGAGGGCUACUCUCUUCUUCUACAUGCAGCCACAAACUUGCCAAGAAACUAGUGUCUGGUGACCCCCUGUGGUGGUACUCCAUUGGGCCCAGCUCUUUAUAGAGUUUACAGGAUCUUGGCUCUUCUUCUUCUUUCCUGCCAAAUUCCUCUGUUUAGAAUCCCAUUCCUUUUUCUUUUUUUUUUUUUUUAAUUGAACUGUAGUUGAUUUACAACGUUGUGUUAGUUUCUGGUGUACAACAAAGUGAUUCAGAUAUAUAUAUAUAUAUAUACACACACACACAUAUAUAUAUAUAAUUUCAUAUUAUUUUCCAUUAUGGUUUAUUACAGGAUAUUGAAUAUAGUUCCCUGUUCUAUACAGUAGGACCUUAUUGUUUACUUUAUAUAUAGUAGUUUGUAUCUGCUAAUCCCAAACUUGUAAUUUAUCCUUCCCCCAUCCCCUUUCCCCUUUGGUAACCAUAAAUUUGUUUUCUAUGUCUCUGAAUCUGUUUCUGUUUUGUAAAUAAUUUCAUUUGUAUCAUAUUUUAGAUUCCACAUAUAAGUGAUAUAAUAUGGUAAGUUUGUAAAGGAAUUCUAAACAUGAACAUAAUGUAAGUAAUAUUCCUCCUUCCCCAACUGUGUCUACCCUAGUCUUCAGAAAAAAAAAAAGGUGAAAUUUUUUUGGUUGUUGUGAAAAUGGUGACCAUGCUUAUUCUAAUGGUUUAUCAUUAUGAGUUCACUUAAUAACAUAGGAAAUUUCAUAUGCUCACUUAUUUACUUAUAAUUAGAGGCUAUCAGAGAAGUGUGAAUAUAUAGUCUGCCUUGAUUCUAGACAUCUUGAUUCAUAGUCGUAAUUGGUUGGUUGUUAUCUCCUUCAGGGGGGAACAGAGUCUUGGGGAGAGCAGGUUUAAUAUAUCUUUAGUCAACAAUCUACCAAUAAGAACUGAAUUUUGGUAAGACUAUAUAAAUUACAGCAAGAAAAAGAUUAAAAUGUCAGUCUUUACAAUUCUUGACCAACUUGGAUCAUGUUAUUCAUGCUGUCAUUUAUGUUUGAAACUCUUUAUUAACCCAACCCAAGAUUUUCUUCACCUACAUCCUUUCUCCAAACCUCUUCCUUUCCCAGAAUUCUCUCUUAGAUAAUGCCAUAAACAUCCUUCUAGUCACUGGCUGGAAAUCUUGAGACCAUUUCACCUCCUCAUUUUCCUUCAUCUUCUACAUUCUGUGAAAUACCAGUUCUAGUUGGUUCUGUCUAAAGAGUUCCUUUCAUAUGUGCCUUUUUGUUGUUGUUUAACACAAGCAUUGGCUGAUUGCAGGUUCUUGGUAUUUCUUGCUUGAAUAAGUACUAUACUCAAUUCAACUUGAGUAUAGGUUUCAAAUACUUGCCACCUUCCAUCCAGUAUGCCACUGCCCCUCUUAAAUGCUAUGAAAGUCUUUGCAUUGUAUUUGAGUCUCUUGUAUUGACCCUCUAGUUCAACUACAGUGGCCCACUAUUUCCCCAAGAAAGUCAUUUUCAGAUUUCUGCUUGGUUUAUGCUAGAAAUGGCAAAAUAGGUCUCAACCCUUAGGUCCAAAUCAGAAGCAACCUUUGACACUUUCCAUGUAAUCUGUAUCCUUCUGAGCUAGGAGACAGGGAAGGUUCAUUUGAUAGAGAAGGAAGACUGUAAUAGGACUAGAAACGUACCCUCCUUUUAGCUUCUUCAGCCUCUCCAUGCAUCCAGUGCCUUCCUUCUUUCCCUUCAAUAUGCUCUGAAUGCUGCUGCAUGCUCUGCUUCCUGACCGGGGCGUGGCUUAUUGGGAGGGUCUAGCUGAGAGCUGAAGAAAAGGGGAAAAGCUAAACUUCAAAAAGCAUGCACUUCGCAUGGACAUAGGGUCUGAGGCAUUCCUUGGGGAACACAGAGAACCAAGGACUUGGUGUUAACUCAGCCCAAUUAUUUAUUUACUUAAUCUGACUUCGUUGAUGACCACUUUUCCAAACUUAGGGACAGUUCCAUUUGCACCUCAGUCCUCUCCUGUAUAAAAACGUGAUGGUGAAUUUAAAAAAAAAAAAAAAAAACCAAACAGCCAUGUUUCUGCUUGAUGGUAUAUUUCUUAUCACAGCAAAAGUGUCUGAUUGAAAUGGUUAUAAUAGAGCAGAAGAAGCACAGAAGUUAAGGUAAGCGGACCUGUUUGAGUGUGAUGUAGACGUGCUUUUGAAGUACACUCCUGGUGCUCUCUUCUGCCCACACCUUCUCUCCGGCUGUGUGUAGUAGGAAUGAGGGGAGAAAGGGAGAGCGUGUCACAGAUUCUCCCCCACUGCCUAUGAUGUAGCCGCUUCCCCCAUGCAAAGAGGAGACAGACAGCCCUCAACCGGCUCACAGGCUGCUGUUUGAUGUAUUCUAGCCCUGCUAGCUGAGAGCAGACAGACAGUCCUUGUUGAGAGGAAGUUGUGGCCUGAACUCUAGGCUGAAAUGGAGACAAUUGGAUCACUGAACUAGAGGGGUGAAUAAGUUUCUCAGUUAUUAGGAAUUAGCACCAGAGUCCUACAUUGGGAAACACAUUCAGGCCACAGGUAAAAAGCAAACUGGUCAUGAUAAAGCUUGUGGAUCAUGGAGCGGCCCCGCUCUACUCACACCUGUACAUUUGCUAGAGGGGAGAAGUUUUUCCAAAAUGAGAAGUCAUAGCCUGUAAAUAUUAAGUGGCCAGCUGUGAACCACUGCAAAGCCAAUCUGGACACAUUUUAAUUGGAAUAAGAGCCAGAGAAGUAGCCAAAUGGACAUCUGCCAAAGGAAUGGAAGUAGAUCUUGGUAGUACUUGAUUGCCCACUGGGGAUAAAGGGCAGCAGAUCAAGUGGUGGAAGUUAGAACCUUGUGAGAACAGAAAUGGGGCUAGAAAGUAUGGCAAUGUAAGUUUUCUUUCCAUAGAUUAGCAACAACUAAAGGCAGAUAAAUCAUUCAUCCUUUAAAUCUUAACAUUUUCUUUGGAAUGAUAGUGUAGUUUACCUAAACUUUUUUCCUUAGUUCUGGUGAAAUAACUCGAAGUUUAAUUUCUUUGUGUAUAUUUCUUCAGUUCCUGCAUUGGCAGACCUUCAAAAUAAUAACCCCCCUUAGAUUUAAUACAAAGUCGGUUUAAACUAUGAUAAAAUUAUUUAGAUAUUGCUCUAGGUUCUUAUUGGAGUGUAAAUGUAUGCAUCUUAAUAGAAUGUUGGAUGGAAGUAGUCUCGAGCUAUCAUCCACAUCAAUGACUAGGGAUUUAACAAUGCAUUGUGAACUGAGUUCUUUUCUUCAUCUUCAGUUAUUUUGAACUUUUUCAUCUUCUCUGAGAGCAGGAAGGUGGGAUUUAAGGAAAGGAUAUCUGAGUGCUGGGACAGGCACACGUUCAGAGAAGACCAUUAUGAAAAUUCUGAAAUAAAGAGCAAGUAGAGCAUAGAGCCUGUCAUUCCCUUCAUGACAUGUUAAAGCGAGGCUAGUCCAGAAGGGAUUUUUUGGUGACUGCAUCAAGGCACACAACCAGUUUGGGAUGAAAAUUUGUUAACACCGAAUCUUGAAAAAUGAAGACGGAUGAACUAAUUUGUAAUCCUCAUCAUUAUUUUCUCCCUCUGGCUACAGGUAAUGGAAUGUGACUGUUAACUUUGUUGAGUGUGUGGAAAUGGUGCUGUGGAAAUAUUUCUUAAAAAAUAUAGCAUCUCCAACUGAUGUCUCUAACAUGAGAGACAUGUAUAAUUACAAAAAGAAGAUACAAUUCCAAUGGCAACUGGUAAUAGAAUCUUAGAGUUGAGAAGCAUCCUGGCCUGAAAUGUGACAGUAAAGAAGCCAGGGUAAGGGUUUGCACAGAAAAACUUAAGAUGUUUGGUUUCAGUCGUUGCAAAGGAGAAUGGUUUCUGCCUAGAGACUUAGUUUGGUGAUGUUAGAAAAUCACAAAGAUAAGAAGACUGAAUUAAAGACAUUUUAACUAGGCACCUCAAGAACAGUGGUCUCACAUUGAAAAUGUUUUGCAAAUCAAACGUUUGGUAACUUCAAUUCAGAUGCAUUUAAUGUGAACUCAAAUAUGUGGUAAGUAUGUGUAAUCAGAAAGCGUCUACUUUCUAUCAGUUUGUGGUUAUAUGAAGACAAUUGACGUUAAUUUCCAAGACUCACUAUUUGGUAGCCUUCUAGCGUGUAACCGUAAAGCACCAGCGCCCGGCACAGUUGUCCCCAAGGAGUGACCCACACCCUCUGCCGGGCGCUGUCUCAUCCCUGAGCCAGGCGCUUUGUCUUCUGGCCAUCAGCCUGGCCUUAGGGACAGCCCUAAGUUGGGUCGUGUCCUCAUGGGGGAUCCUCCUGGCAGUUGUCUUCUGAAACAGCCCAACUGUCACCACCUUCAAUUGCUAAAAUGACAAAACCCUACGGUAUGAAACAAUCCUGUGUCCCCUUCAGUCCUCAGUCUACCCAGGGGCCACAUUGUAGUCUGUGUGGAGUUGGUUGUCUUUUUCCUAUUUUGAACUUCACUUUGGAUCUGGACCCUUUUUACUUGUGCUCUGAGUCUUACUAAGUCAUUUGUGAAAACAGUCCUUUGAUUUUCUGCUUGAGAGUAACUUCCUUUUAGAGGCUAAAAAACUGGCUGGUACUAGACCAGAGGCCGUCACAUUUCCCUUUCAGUCCUCCACUGGGUUCCAGGAAAUAAAUCAUCCCCUAUAAUUAGACCCCGAUGUGUUGCCCCAGCAAUAGCACUUCAUCAUUCACCCCCUGAAAAGACUGCAUUUCCUUUAGGGCCAUCCAGAACCACUGCUGAUGCAUAGCAAAAGCCAACUCUAUUGUAAAGACAGUAGAGCCAUAAAACUCUGCAAAAUUCACACAUCUAAAAUUGUUUCCAGACAGACCUACAGUCUUUAAUGUCAUCCCCUUCUCUCCUCACGCCAAACACCUCUUUCCAGUAACUCCAGAAAGUGAAGAGAUAUGGUAAACCUGAAACUUCUGUGUGACAAAGAGCUCUACAGUUGUGAUUGCUUGCAGCACAUGUAGUCAACAGGGGAGCUGGGAAAGUUUAUUUCUACUUCAUUCAGGUGGUUUCAUGUUUUUGAAGAAAGUGAGGAAGAGAUUUGGUUGGCUAUUGCAGAAGGGAGCAUGCAGGACCCUCCAUCUCUCUAACAGAUAAGAGGUGCAAUACCACCCUUUAACCCCUAGUAAGCACUCAAAUAUUCGCCAAGCUUAGUAAGACUUGCCAUAAAUACCUAACAGACUGAAAUUACCAUCUGCAAAAUGUUUUCCUGUGAGAGUGCAUUAUGAAGUUAAAUUUAUUCUGUGAAAUUCUGUCAACUAGUAAUUAAUGUAACUAAAGUAGAAAAUUUUUGUGGAAUGGAAAAUUGCUUUUAGUUGUACUAUUGUUCAGGAAGAACAAUUUAAGAACAUCUGGAUUCUGUGUUCUUAGCUCAUCGUCCUAGUUUAUUGUGUUGCUUUUAUUCUCCUGUAGGUGGUAAAACAGUGAUUCAAAGACUAAGAUAAAAUAUAAACGUGACUCUCCUUUUUAGGUCCUUAAGAGUAGAGAGGGGUAUCUUUUGGAGAUAUUUAAAGGGCUGGAUUAUCAGCAACUUUGUAAAUGUUUAGGAUUCAGUACAACUCAAUUUGGGUUUGGCUGUUAACUUACAUCUGUAAUUUUUGACAUCGCAUCCAUUUUAGGGCUAACAUAAUGUGUUGAUUUAUGAGCACUCAGAAAUCCACAAACAUUAUAAAUGAAUAAAUAAGACAGAAUAUCAAGCACGAAAAGUGUUUCUAUUAAUAAGGAUAAGAAUUUUGCUUUCAGCAAAUGAAGUAUGGCAUGGGUUUACUUCCCCCAGCAUCUGUUCAGAAGUCUCAGAAUUUGAACACUUCGUGCAUUCUCUCUUUUGCUCUGUGUUCCUUUUGGGAAAAUUCCUUGAACUGUGAUCUAGAGAAGGUGAGAGGUGGACUGGUCUUCUCUUCAGACUAGUACAUUUCCUUCUAUUUAGUUGAUUUUUAAAAUCUUAACUGGAAAUAAGAAUAGCUGCCUUCUCCUAGUCGGAAUGCCUUUUGCCACCUACUAGUUGUGUGACACUCGGCAAGUUAGCUGACUGAGCCUUACUUUUGUGAUCCGUAAAGUGGGAAUAAUAUCUUCCCUGAUACGGUGUUUAAGGGGAUUAGAAGAAAUAGUGUAUGUAAAGUACUUAGCAUAGUGUAUGACCAAAGUAAAACCUCAUUUAUCAUUACUGAAGAAAAUUCUCCAGAUGAAGCCAUGUUCCUCUUUCCCUCCGUAAAGCAUUCUGGCAGAUGCCCAUGGAAUGCUGAAUGCUCAGGGCUAGAAGCUACUCAAGAAGGUGUGGUCGAGGACCAACAGCAUUGGCAUCACCUGGGUGAUCACCUGGUAUCACCUUGGUAGAAAUGCAGAUUUUUAGGUCUCAACCCCAGACCUACUGAAUAGGAGUCUGUAUUUCAGUGAUCCCCAGGUGAUUCGUAAACACAGUAAAGUUUAAACAGCACUGUGACAAGUACACCUGCUUAACAAGUGUUUGCUCCAAAACCAUUUGAUACCAGUUGCUCUUGCUUUUGUAAUUACAUAAUUUAACUAUCACAUAAAGCUAAAUAAGAGUGUGAAAAGGGAGAGUUGUUGUUUUUAAGAAAACUAAAUUAAAUGCUUUAGAACAAUAAUAGUGAAGUAAGUGUGGGUGAGGCAACCAUAAAGAUUGGGAAAAUGGUAAAGAUCUGUAAGAUUGUGAGCUCUGAGUUCUUCUCUUGCAUGUUUUAGUUUCUAGAUUUCACUGUAAAGAAGUUUAAUACCACCUAGUCAGUGGCUGGGGCCACCCAGAAAAGAGUGUGUGCUCAGCCCAAAAGAUGAGGGGGACCUGGAAUUAACAGCUGCCAGCUAACUGCACAUCUGGGCAGCCAGUCCUUUCUUACAGGGGAGAAUCAAGGGGCACUCACGAUGUCUGCCACCGUCUCCAUCUGUUUCUUAAAAAUGCAAACCUAUGACUACUUGCAUGGUAUAAAUAAAUAAGCCUACGAGACCAAUUUCUUAUCUACUUUAUUGAAUGAAGACACCUACAAAUGUGAAGACUUUGAACAUCCCAAGUGCAAAAAUUUAUACACUUUAAUGAUGGCAUUUGAAACUUGACAAGUAAUCGUGCUCUAUGCACACCAGUCUAUAAAUAUAGUCAACAGUCGUCCCCAGAGCUGUGAAGUGACUCUUGACUGAUUUUCAAAUUAUUGUGAAUUUGCUAGCUAAUCAAAAUUCUGAACACAAAUUGGCUCGGUCAGGAUGCAUGAUGCAUAUCUAAACCACCAAGGAAAUACCCGAGCGGCUUUAGGAAUUCGUCUUCCAUCAUCUCUAGUACGUUUUACAGACCACAAAUAGCCAGUGGAGAAGGGUGUUUCUCUGUAGCAUCUAUCACAGUCUCAAGCUUUCUUACAUAAAGGCAAACUGAUGUGGUAAAAAAGAGUGAUACUUGAAGUGAGAAGGCCUGUGUUUGAGAAUGGCCUCUGUCAUUCAGUUCCUGACUUGAUGUCAUUGGGGAUUGGUGGUCCCAACGUCUACCUCACAGAAACUUGGGAGGGAUUA